CUCAGCCCUCUCUCUUGUUUGUGUUGGAAAUCAGAUUAAGAUAAUGCGGUUAUAUCGGUUGCUUAUGGUGGUGGUCGCCAUGUCUAUUGUGGUAGACGCAUUUCCCAAUGGAAUUCCCAGAAAUUGGAAGCAAAAACUGGCUUCCCAACAAUAUGGCUAACAGGCCAAUGCUGGCAAACCAGAAGCUGACGUGAAGGAGGCUGUAGAAAACUUGAACGAGGCUGUGGAAUUAGUGGGGCAGGCUGAGCAACACGUGGGCGAGGCAGAGCAAAACGUGGGCGAAGCUGUGGAAAACGUGGGCGAGGCUGUUGAAAACAUGGGCGAGGCUGUUGAAAACGUGGGCUAGGCAGAGCAAAACGUGGGAGAGGCCGUGGAUAACGUGGGCGAAGCUGUGUAAAACGUGGGCGAAGCUGUGUAAAACGUGGGCGAAGCUGUGCAAAACGUGGGCGAAGCUGUGGAAAACGUGGGAGAGGCUGUGCAAAACGUGGGAGAGGCUGAAGCGGACGAAAACAAGGACGACCAAAGAUAUGAGAUUGCAUCGACAGCUGGUGAUUGUCCAAGUAGGCUGAAAAACGUGAUGGAGGGCUGUUCCGCUUACGAUAAGUGUACGAAUGACUGCGAUUCUUCGUACGAUGAUGAAUGUGACGAUGGUGGUCUAUCAAGUUUGUAUUGGUAUUGUGAAUAUGGUACUGACUGCUCGGAUUGUGGAUCGCGAUCGUAUGUAUGCUUGAAUGAAUGUGAUUGCCCAUAUGAUGAUGAAUGCGAUGAUGGUGGUCCAGGUAGUCUCAAUUCGCUGUGUUCGGCUGGUACAGACUGCGAAGAUUGUGGGUUGCGAAGUGCAUUAAGUCUGCACUAACGAAUGUGAGCAUCACCGAGACGACGAAUGCGAUGAUGGUGGGCCAGGUAGCCAAUAUUCAAUUUGUGGAUACGGCACAGACUGUGCUGACUGUGGACUGCGACCUCUGCGGUGUACAAAUACUUGCAUUCAUGCAUGGGAUUGGGAAUGUGACGAUGGUGGUCUCGGUAGCCUCUAUAACGUCUGUAGUUAUGCCACUCACUGCGAAGACUGUGGGGUUCAUCCAUAACUAGUGCCGUUUAGUUCCUGGACAAUGUAACCGCAACGAGAUUACUAUUGACUCUCGGGUAAUGUAACAUAUUAAUUACACGUACCAUUUGUUGUAUUAAAAUAUAUGGGCUGAAAUACAA